CCCACACUCAGGGUGAGAGGGAGAUUCUGAAGCUUUGUGUUUCUUGCUAGCUAGUCAAAGGAUAGAAAAAUAAUACAUGCCAAAAGAAAUUUGAGGAACAAAUUCAGCCCUGAGACAGGUCACGGAAACAGCCCUCCAGUCUUCCUCAAGAAAUGUAGACUGAAUCAGCAUUUACCCACCCCUGGAAAAACGCAGGAGCUGCGCAUUCCUGGGAUCUCAGCAGGGCUUUUGGGAAGAGCAGAACUGGGCUGGAGUCACGGUUUCUGGGCUGACUCUAGAUUUUCCCCGGCUUUUGCCACCUGUGAUGGCUGGAGAGUAUCUGAAGAUGACAGCCAGUGUCCUUAGCUUGUGAAGAUUGGAUGAUGGCCGGGGCCCUCAGACCCCUUGGCCCCUCCUUAACUGCAGGUCUUCAAAAGCCCAACACCUGUUCGUCAUUUCUGUGGCUUCCCAGGGAGUCUUACUCUUCUGCUUCAAGCUGCUGGGUUUGACUCUGAGCAGUUUCUGUGCAGCCACAAAGAUUCUUAUGUGAGACACACUGCUGCUUCAGAGUGCUCCAACCCAUCUCCCCUGAUUAAACACUAACCAGGGCUGCCACAGCAAAGUGGCUCAAAUGGGUGACGUCAACAACAGAUUUACUUUCUCAUAGUUCUGGAGGCAGGUGUCUAGGAUCAAGGUGGUGGCAAGGCUAUUCCUUCUGUUGCCUCCCUCCUUGCCUUGUGGAUGACCGUCUUCUCCGCGUCUUUCCAAGAUCUCUCCUCUGUGCAUGUCAGUGUCCUUGCUUCCUCUUCUUAUGA
rnacentral:lncRNA from 10 species